AGUUUUGCCGAAGUACGAGGUGACGGUGACGCCGUCGUCGCGCACAGUCAUGCGCGGUGCGAAGAGCGUCUCUGGUAUUGUCUGUGCAAAGUACACGUAUGGCAAGCCUGUAGAGGGCAAUGCUGUGCUGCAAGUGUGCGCUCGACCCCAGCCGAGACCGUCCUGGUCGCGAGAACCUGAACUGCCUCCAUUCUGUAAAGACACCGAGCUAACUGUAAUAGAUGGCUG